ensembl:lncRNA
GUGAGUGCUGGGCUCCCUGAGCUCCGUGAGGCCAACUCGGGCUGGCCGGUGACGCUGGCCACCUGUGAGGCAACCGGCCCAUGUUCCCAUCCCAGAACGCCUGCGAGGUGCUCUUCACGUCACUGCGGAAGAGCCUGGGGUCCAAGGACAGUGGCAAGAUUGUCUUCAAGACAGCUUGGGUUACCUGGACACAGUGCAUUAUAUUGAAUAUAUUGAAUAGAACACAAAGAACUGCGCAUCAGGUGAUGAGCCUGGACUUCUAUGUUCAAUGUUGUUAAUGGACAAGUUUGUGUAGUUACUCUUGGUAAAAAGAUGAGUGAGUGCUCAAUCGCUCAGUGAGGUCCAACUCUUUGCAACUACAUGGACUAUAGCCCACCAGGGUCCUCUGUCCAUGGGACUUCCCAGGCAAGAAUAUUGGAAUUGAUUGACAUUUCUCCUCCAGAGGAUCUUCCCCACUCAGGGAUUUAACCUACACGGCUACCACAUGUGAUGGAAAGAAUCCAAGUUAAACACUCUAACCAGAGCAUGUUCCAAGACAGAUGACUGGGCCUCAGGCUUGGCCAAUACAAUGCACUUCUAUUCUCUAUUUAUUUUUAUAGUUCAAAGAC